UACGUAGGGGGCAAGCGUUGUCCGGAUUUAUUGGGCGUAAAGAGCGUGUAGGCGGCCAUGCAGGUCCGUUGUGAAAACUGGAGGCUUAACCUCCAGACGUCGAUGGAAACCGUAUGGCUAGAGUCCGGAAGAGGAGAGUGGAAUUCCUGGUGUAGCGGUGAAAUGCGCAGAUAUCAGGAAGAACACCUAUGGCGAAGGCAGCUCUCUGGGACGGUACUGACGCUGAGACGCGAAAGCGUGGGGAGCGAACAGG
rnacentral:rRNA from 1 species